UCAAAACAUAAACCAAUAGACUCAACUUAAAACAUAAGUCCCAAUUAGAAAUCUACAUAGUAUUUGAAAAUCAAUCCGGGAGGAUAACUCUUAUGUCAACUCCAAAAUCAUAGAAAUGAUAAGCGAAACUAAAAUCAAACUUUCUUACUUUCUUGAGAACAAUAAAUAUAGAAAAGAUAUUUAUAAAGCGAUAGUCGCAUGCAAUUUAUUAAAAGUAAAAGUCCACUCACAGAUUUAGGCCUAAGCCCGACGGAAUCCAAAUCGUCACUCAAGUGAAGUCUCCUCGUAUUCUGGAAUCCAAAGCUCUCCUCACAAACUCUGAUACUCACGAGCAUUCCGUUCCUCGGGUAACUGGAGUCCCUAAUGUCCGACAUUACACAACUGUAAGCCUUAAUAAUAUCCCGAUUAAAACCCACACCAACUUUAUAGAGAAAUUUUGAAAACUAACCAACUUUUGGUCAUCAAGAUGGUUUUUAACCUUCUUUUUUAUUUUAGUUGAAAACUAACCAUUUUACAAGAUAAAAUGACUAUUAUGUCAUUUUAUUUAGUUGCAAGGAAAAAUUUCAUAUUCCAUGAACAGAUUUAAUAUAUUCCAUCUGCAAGAGACUUUAGGUUUUUUUCCAAUCCAUGGGCAUAUUCGUUUAAUCCAAGUACAAAAGCUCUAGGAUUUUUCAUUUUCUUGUUUCAUCGUGUAUCCCAUCCCAAGGAUUCACUGUUGGAAACUUGGAAUUGAGUUUUCUACAAGUCUGAACUUCUUUGUCUCCAAUUAAUUAUGGCAAUGAUCAUAAUCAAUGUAUAUAUACAAAGCAUCUUGGUCUCUUCUAUUCCUCUUUUCUGUAUUUUUCUGAAUUGGGUUGUUGGAGUUCUUGCACAUGUAAGUCCCCUGAAAACCCCAAACUUCAAAUCCCUAAAUCCACAAAACUUUUAUUGAAAUUGAAACAUUGUAAAUCUAUGUCAUUCACGAAAUCUGAACAAUAUGAAUAUGAUACCUAGCUAGAUGCUCCUCAAUUGGAUGUAGAAAAAAUAAACCCCAUAAAUUAAAUACUCAAGAAGUUCAGUUGUUGUGGUAGACGAACGAUUGAACAAGAAUUUCAUAUUUUUCCUUUCCUUUUUUUGAGAAAAAAUAUAAAAAGGUAUUUAAAAUGGUUAUUUGAUUUAAAAGGGUAUUAAAAACUUUUAAUACUAUCAUAUGGUUAUUUUUUAACUAAAUAAAAAAAAAAAGGUUAAAAACCAUCUUGAUAACCAAAAUUUGGUUAGUUUUCAAAAUUUCUCAACUUUAUAUGACCAUCAUAAUUGUCAUCUCAUUCUUUUCGAUGUCAAAUUACUAUGGGCACCCGAUAAGAAAUUAUUAAUUAGAACAUUAUGUCAGUUUAUCAAAGCUAACAUUGUCCUUGAGACAAUUACUCGUUCGCUAGUAAUUGUCAAGCAUUACCACAUUUCAUAAUCUUUCGACCUUAACUUACAUGCAUUUCAAUAUACCAUAGUUUACUACACCUAUCAUCAUCUGCCUCUUAAUUCCAUAACAAUUUAAAUCAGCUUUCAUGCCACUAAUAUUUAGUAAUAGUUCCACGACCCAACUUCUUAUUAAUAAACUAAUUUCAAUUAUGUGACCACACAAGUGACCACACAACACAAUGAGUACCAGAAUCACCAUUUGGCUUCUUCCUUACCUUAAUUAAAGACCAAUUUGAUCGAACCGAAACUCUAUUAAUUACUCUCUACACCCAAGUGUAUAAUUAGCAGCAACGAAUACUCCUUCAGUUUCUUCCUUCACAAAAACAGUAACCAAACAACAUCUAAGUCGUCAUCGAAACUCAGAAACUAGCAACUAAGCAGAAUACUAACUUUCAGAAAUCAAAAAUCAACUCACCUAUCAAUCAAAAGGGUUCAUGGCAGAAUUGAGGCUCAACUUAACUCCUCAGCUAAGAACACCACAGCUGCUAGCCCUCUCCUUUCGAUAUAGUCCUUAACCCGAGACACAGUAGCCAAAACAAGGGAAAUCCUUACCCUUGUCAACCAACACAGUAGCUUCGCUUCGCUGCUCCAACUCCUAAUCCGUCAUGGCGUCGACUUGUAGCAGAAAACAACCGAUUAAUACCACCUAUAGCCCAGUAACAACAACAAGCAACCCAAAAACACAACCCUUACUUUAAUUAACUCCCUCCAAGGCCAGCUUAGUAGUUUUCUUCCUUUCCAUAAUCAAAUCUAGUGCUUAAUAUCACCCUCCACAGCAAGCUCGUCUUCCAAUAGAACGUCUCUUUUUCUGUGAAUCCAUCAAGUCAUUGCUAUUUCAAUCUCAGCUUUGUCGUUUCUCCAUCCAAAAAUGCAAACUCCAUAGACCUCACACAACCAAAAGUCAAAAUAACCUACUUCAGAUCAGUCGGCAGAGUUAGGAGCGUGCGACAAGAACACAGAUGCUUGACGCCAACUAGACUCGACGCUUGUCGUUGAUAUGGGUCGGGGUCGGGUCAAACUUUGUUGCUGGUUUGGUGGGUGGCUUGGUCGGGUCAACAAGCAUACUAGGCCGCGGCGAAUACUUAUACAUGUCUUUCUUUUCUUUUUUUCUUUUUUUCUCAUUCU
rnacentral:lncRNA from 1 species